rnacentral:rRNA from 1 species
AUUGAACGCUGGCGGCAGGCUUAACACAUGCAAGUCGAGCGAGCGGCGGACGGGUGAGUAAUGUCUGGGAAACUGCCUGAUGGAGGGGGAUAACUACUGGAAACGGUCGCUAAUACCUCAUACCAUCAGAUGUGCCCAGAUGGGAUUAGCUAGUAGGUGGGGUAAUGGCUCACCUAGGCGAAGAUCCCUAGCUGGUCUGAGAGGAGGACCAGCCACACGGGAACUGAUACACGGUCAAGACGCCUACGGGAGGCAGCAGUGGGGAAGAUGGCACAAUGGGCGGAAGCCUGAUGCAGCCAUGCGGCGGGUGUGAAGAAGGCCUUCGGGUUGUAAAGCACUUUCAGCGAGGAGGCGUUACUCGCAGAAGAAGCACCGGCUAACUCCGUGCCAGCAGCCGCGGUAAUAC